AGACAACUUUUGACGGUGGAUCUCUUGGCUCACGCAUCGAUGAAGAACGCAGCCAGCUGCGAUAAGUAGUGUGAAUUGCAGAAUUCAGUGAAUCAUCGAAUCUUUGAACGCAAAUGGCGCUCUUGGGUUCUCCCAGGAGCAUGUCUGUCUGAGUGUCG
rnacentral:rRNA from 1 species